ACCGUGCAUGGUAGGCAGUUUGACUGGGGCGGUCUCCUCUAAAGUGUAACGGAGGAGUACGAAGGUACGCUAGGUACGGUCGGACAUCGUGCUGUUAGUGCAAUGGCAAAAGCGUGCUUGACUGCGAGACUCACACGUCGAGCAGGUACGAAAGUAGGUCAUAGUGAUCCGGUGGUUCUGUAUGGAAGGGCCAUCGCUCAACGGAUAAAAGGUACUCUGGAUAACAGGCUAAUACCGCCCAAGAGUUCAUAUCGACGGCGGUGUUUGGCACCUCGAUGUCGGCUCAUCACAUCCUGGGGCUGCAGUUGGUCCCAAGGGUAUGGCUGUUCGCCAUUUAAAGUGGUACGUGAGCUGGGUUUAAAACGUCGUGAGACAGUUUGGUCCCUAUCUGCCGUGGGGCGCUGGAAAUUUGAAGGGGG
rnacentral:rRNA from 1 species